rnacentral:rRNA from 1 species
GACGAACGCUGGCGGCGUGCCUAAUACAUGCCAGUCGAACGCUGAAGGAGGAGCUUGCUUCUCUGGAUGAGUUGCGAACGGGUGAGUAACGCGUAGGUAACCUGCCUGGUAGCGGGGGAUAACUAUUGGAAACGAUAGCUAAUACCGCAUAAGAGUAGAUGUUGCAUGACAUUUGCUUAAAAGGUGCAAUUGCAUCACUACCAGAUGGACCUGCGUUGUAUUAGCUAGUUGGUGAGGUAACGGCUCACCAAGGCGACGAUACAUAGCCGACCUGAGAGGGUGAUCGGCCACACUGGGACUGAGACACGGCCCAGACUCCUACGGGAGGCAGCAGUAGGGAAUCUUCGGCAAUGGACGGAAGUCUGACCGAGCAACGCCGCGUGAGUGAAGAAGGUUUUCGGAUCGUAAAGCUCUGUUGUAAGAGAAGAACGAGUGUGAGAGUGGAAAGUUCACACUGUGACGGUAUCUUACCAGAAAGGGACGGCUAACUACGUG